UGUCGUCAGCUCGUGUCGUGAGAUGUUCGGUUAAGUCCGCUAACGAGCGCAACCCUCGUCGUAUGUUAUAUGUGUCAUACGAGACUGCCGGUAAAAAGACCGGAGGAAGGUGAGGAUGAUGUCAAGUCAGCAUGACCUUUAUAUCCAGGGCUACACACACGCUACAAUGGUCUGUACAAUGGGUAGCCAAGCCGCGAGGCGGAGCCAAUCCUGAAAGCAGGCCUCAGUUCAGAUUGCAGUCUGCAACUCGACUGCAUGAAGCCGGAGUUGCUAGUAACCGCAGGUCAGCAAUACUGCGGUGAAUACGUUCCCGGGUCUU
rnacentral:rRNA from 1 species